GCUAAGAAAACCCAGUCUCCCAAGUCCACAGAGCUAAGAAUCAGAUUCUGAAGUGAGGAGUCUGAGAACAUGAUGCCCUGUACAGUUCAUCUUGGCAUUUUAAAAAGAUCACAACAUUAGCACACACAUGAAGAUAAGAAGAAAAGAGGCCAUGCCUGCGGAAUUAUGCCAGUGCUUUUCAGGCUCUGUGGAAAGUCAGCUACCUGGAGUACCUCCUUGAAAUCUGGAGAACAAAGAUGCUCAUCAUCAGAUUCCAGUUCUAGUGGGGAAAUAAAGUUACUAAAAGUUCAUGCA